rnacentral:misc_RNA from 1 species
AUGAGCUACUUCCCUCCUUGUGCUGUCAGGAGGGAGUCCCUCAACAUAUAGUGUGCUGGAAGCAUCUGGGGGUAGAGGUACAGUUUCACGAACAGGCCUAUCCAUUGUAUCCACUGAAGGCUGUCUACGAAAAACAAGGUCUCGACCAUUUGGUGCCAGAUAAGGACCACUAACCCGAGGACGGCCCACGACACCAGAGUUAAAUACUGGAAGAUCAGUCCUUGCAUUACCAUUAGCCCUUCCCAAUCCAACACUUAACC